GGUAUUUUGACUAUACGAAGGUAUUGAAAUAAGGCUUUAAUUGGGUGCUAAGAGAAUGGUUAGACAGGGAUUGACUUUCUUUGUAUUUAAAAUUGAAGUUGAUUUAAAAAUGAAAAAGUUUUUAUGAGUUUUUAGGACAAGAAGACCCUAUGAAUUUUUUUUAAAGAAUUUAUUUAUAAUUUUUGUUAUAUUAAGUGAAGUAAUAAUUUAAGUUGAUUGGGGCGAUUUUUGAAGAUUGAAUAUCUUUAUAAAUUUGAUGUAAUUAGAACCAAAAAUUUUGGUUUUUUGAGUAAAAUACUCUAGGGAUAACAGCGUUAUUAUUUUGGAUAGUUCAUAUAGAUGAAGUAGUUUGCGACCUCGAUGUUGGAUUAAGAUACCUUUUUAAUGUAGCAGUUUUAAAAGGAAGUUUGCUCAACUUUUGAAAUCUU
rnacentral:rRNA from 1 species